GAAAAGAAAUAAAAAAAAUUAGACAACCGCAACACACGCCACUAAAGCCACCACCGCCGGCAUAACGCGGAAGCAACAGUUGGCAACAUUCACUCGCGCCUCAUUGCUUCGUCCGCUUCGUCUCCGCAACGACAGCCGCCAUCUUCUCGCGCCUAACGUUUUGUAUGGUUUUGUUCUCUGCAAUCCGCGCACACAGCUCAUCGGUGGCUGCACGUCUGCUCGGCGUCGCAAUGCGGCCUGCGUCAUUUUCUGGUGCUCGCGCAAUCGGUGUGAAACAUGUCGCAUGUGAAAUGUUUGAUAGAAGUGCCUCACGUCCAAGUCAAGCCGCCGUACGGGUGUAUGGCUGUGCGCCCCGUUCUCGGAAGCGUCGACGGGUUUCCGGCAUGCGGAUUUCAGCGUUUGGACUCGACUUUUGGUGAGGAUGUCGAUCGACCUUGGGCCUGGUGACAGCACACCCGACAUCGCCAAAGUGCAGCCUAUCAGUUGAGUGCCCCCGAAUGGACCAUCAACAUCGGAAAAUGAAGCAGAGCCAGGGGGAAAAGGUUCCGGUAACACCAUGCAUUCAGUAUGGUGGCCCAGAUGUGUAUGCAAGCAACCUCCUUCAUCUGGACCAAGAACUACUCUGCAGUGUCUCGCAGACUUCCAUGCGAAGCCCUCAACAUUCUCGUCUCAGUGGAAUGGCUGCUCAUCUAUCUGCGUGUCCAUCACCAAGACGGCCAGUUGUAAAGCUCCUGUACCCGUUUAAGAAAGCUUAAUGAUUUUUUUAUUUAGUUUUCAUGGUUGGCCGUAGAAUCUUAACAUUUUUGAUGUUUCUAACAUUUUUACCUGGCACAAAGUGGUACAAUAACUUUAAACCAG